GAAGGAUCAUAAAGAAAAAUGAACCUUGGGGCUGUUGCUGGCCUAUAUGGGCAUGUGCACGCCUCUGGUCAUUACUAAUUCCACCUGUGCACACUUGUAGACAUUGGGAAUGAGAGACUAUAACCCAGUCCCUUGAGAAAUUGAACUUUCCAAUCUGGGUGUCUAUGCCAUUUUUAAAACACCAGUUGCAUGUUUAUAGAAUGAUGUGAUAUGAUUAUAAUGUAAAAUACAACUUUCAACAACGGAUCUCUUGGCUCUCGCAUCGAUGAAGAACGCAGCGAAAUGCGAUAAGUAAUGUGAAUUGCAGAAUUCAGUGAAUCAUCGAAUCUUUGAACGCACCUUGCGCUCCUUGGUAUUCUGAGGAGCAUGCCUGUUUGAGUGUCAUUAAUAUCUCAAGACCCUGUCUGCUUUUGAUAGGUUUUGGAUUUAUGGGGGUUGCAGGUUUUUCCAAAUAGCUUGCUCUCCUUGAAUGUAUUAGUGGAGGGAAAAAAGUCAUUAAACUCCAUUGGUGUGAUAAUGUAUCAAUGCCAGGAGCAAUGAACAACAGUUCUCUCAGCUAUCUAACCCAACUCUCUGUAGUAAACUUGACCAACUUGACCUCAAAUCAGGUAGGACUACCCGCUGAACUUAAGCAUAUC
rnacentral:rRNA from 1 species